ACGCAGGAUCUGCUUACAAUGCAGCUGUGAAGUGCCGCAUUGUCCUUGGCGCCUGCUCAAAAUAAAACUGUUACCCUUCAGCCCUGUUGGCCACGGUGCUGUAGCAGCCAGGGAUGCAUGGUCUCAUACAU
rnacentral:snoRNA from 1 species